CAGGAGGUAAAGUAGCAAAUGAUGCUUACGCGUCACAUAAUAAUGUCACAUUGGACACUGAGGAAGAGAUUAUAGGCGUCGAGCUUGAUGAAAGUUCUACGCUUAUAAUCUCUUUUUGUUUAUCACUUUCAUGGAUAUGAAUUUUCUUUGCUCAUACAAGUCAUAACAGUAGCACAAAUAAGAACAUUUGUUUUUUUUCCACAGCUCAAUAAAUUACUUCAAAAGGCCAUACUCUAGAAACCCUGAUCAACCUGAACAUGUUAAACCUUUUUUUUUUCAGUACUGUAUUUUCACCUUCAAAAAGGAUAUGAAGCCAUAAAGAAAAAGACAGAAAAGUUAUAGAUAUGAUGAUGGUAAUGUACUAAUGUAACAGGAACAAAGAGAUAAAAGUGAGAGAUGUAAAACAAAUGUCCUAUUCAAAGCAAUCCAUGUUACCCUUAAAAAGGCAAUUUUCUUUUUUACCUCUUUUCCAUUCUCUUUUGAUAAAACUUUGAAUAUUAUUGAUGGUUUACAAAUUUUCUCGAUUCUUGAAACUUUGUCCUCAAUUUGUGAGCUAUGAAGCAUUCACAUAGACACCAGAUACAAUACUGACAUGUCUGAUACCGAACACAUCUUAAUCUGAAGUGUUGGUGCUAC
rnacentral:lncRNA from 1 species